UACGUAGGGUGCAAGCGUUGUCCGGAAUUACUGGGCGUAAAGCGCACGCAGGCGGUCUGUCAAGUCGGAUGUGAAAUCCCCGGGCUCAACCUGGGAACUGCAUUCGAAACUGGCAGGCUAGAGUCUUGUAGAGGGGGGUAGAAUUCCAGGUGUAGCGGUGAAAUGCGUAGAGAUCUGGAGGAAUACCGGUGGCGAAGGCGGCCCCCUGGACAAAGACUGACGCUCAGGUGCGAAAGCGUGGGGAGCAAACAGG
rnacentral:rRNA from 1 species